rnacentral:rRNA from 1 species
GGAGUUAGCCGGUGCUUCUUCUGUGAGUGAUGUCCUUCCUGCCGGCUAUUAACCCGCAGGCCUUCUUCCUCACUGAAAGUGCUUUACAACCCGAAGGCCUUCUUCACACACGCGGCAUGGCUGGAUCAGGGUUGCCCCCAUUGUCCAAUAUUCCCCACUGCUGCCUCCCGUAGGAGUCUGGGCCGUGUCUCAGUCCCAGUGUGGCUGAUCAUCCUCUCAGACCAGCUACGGAUCGUCGCCUUGGUGAGCCGUUACCUCACCAACCAGCUAAUCCGACAUAGGCUCAUCCGAUAGCGCGAGGCCCGAAGGUCCCCCGCUUUCCCCCGUAGGGCCGUAUGCGGUAUUAGCCUGGGUUUCCCCAGGUUAUCCCCCACUACCGGGCAGAUUCCUAUGCAUUACUCACCCGUCCGCCGCUCUCCACCAGGGAGCAAGCUCCCCGUGCUGCCGCUCGACUUGCAUGUGUUAGGCCUGCCGCCAGCGUUCAAUCUGAGCCAGAAUCGAAACCUCUACGA